CCUACGGGAGGCAGCAGUGGGGAAUAUUGCGCAAUGGAGGAAACUCUGACGCAGUGACGCCGCGUGACAGGAAGAAGGUUUUCGGAUUGUAAACUGCUUUAGACAGGGAAGAAAAAGGACAGUACCUGUAGAAUAAGCUCCGGCUAACUACGUGCCAGCAGCCGCGGUAAU
rnacentral:rRNA from 1 species